rnacentral:rRNA from 1 species
AGAACUUGCGUUUCAGCUACCCUUUGUAACAGCCAUUGUAUCACGUUUGUAGCCCAGGUCAUAAGGGGCAUGCUGAUUUGACGUGAUCCUCACCUUCCUCCAAUUUAUCAUUGGCAGUCUCGUUAAAGUCCCCACCAUAACGUGCUGGCAACUAACGAUAAGGGUUUCGCUCGUUUUAGGACUUAACCUAACAUCUCACGACACGAGCUGACGACAACCAUGCACCACCUGUGUUUCUGGUAACCUCCACGAUAUUACUAUCAUUUUGCAAAAACAUGUCAAGACCUGGUAAGGUUUUUCGGGUAUCUUCGAAUUAAACAACAUGAUCCACCGCUUGUGCGGAGUCCCGUCAAUUCCUUUAAGUUUCAUACUUGCGUACGUACUACUCAGGCGGAGUACUUAAUGUGUUAACUUCAGUACCGGUUUAACCCGACACUUAGUACUCAUCGUUUACGGCGUGGACUACCAGGGUAUCUAAUCCUGUUUGCUCCCCACGCUUUCGUGCCUCAGCGUCAGUUAAGACCCAGCGAGCCGCCUACGCCUCUGGUGUUCCUCCAUAUAUUUACGCAUUUUACCGCUACACAUGGAAUUCCACUCGCCUCUAUCUAACUCAAGUUUAGCAGUUUCAAUAGCCGGACAACGUUAAGCGUUGCCAUUACACCACUGACUUACUAGACCGCCUACGCACCCUUUACGCCCAAUAAUUCCGGAUAACACUUGCCCCUUAUGUCUUACCGCGGCUGCUGGCACAUAAUUAGCCGGGGCUUAUUCAUCAAGUACCGCAAACAAAUGGUCGCCAUUUGCUUUUCU